rnacentral:ncRNA from 14 species
GGCGAAAUGGCCGAGUGGUCUAAGGCGUCAGACUCAAGUUUUCUGAUCUCGUUAUCGAGGCGUGGGUUCGAAUCCCACUUUCGUCA